GACGAACGCUGGCGGCGUGCUUAACACAUGCAAGUCGAGCGGUAAGGCCCUUUCGGGGGUACACGAGCGGCGAACGGGUGAGUAACACGUGGGUGACCUGCCCUCAGCUCUGGGAUAAGCCCGGGAAACUGGGUCUAAUACCGGAUAUGACUCCAUGACGCAUGUUGUGGGGUGGGAAAGCCUUGUGCGGCUGAGGAUGGGCCCGCGGCCUAUCAGCUUGUUGGUGGGGUGAUGGCCACCAAGGCGACGACGGGUAGCCGGCCUGAGAGGGCGACCGGCCACACUGGGACUGAGAUACGGCCCAGACUCCUACGGGAGGCAGCAGUGGGGAAUCUUGCGCAAUGGGCGAAAGCCUGACGCAGCGACGCCGCGUGAGGGAUGACGGCCU
rnacentral:rRNA from 1 species